ACUUGAAUUACAUAUCCGGCCUGCGAUGGGUUUCAACAGCCCUAAUAUGCGGAGGCGCGCAUCAAGCGGUGAGAAUGUCCGCGGCUACAAAACUCGGAAGAAUUGGCCAUCUGCAUGAUUACCGUUCGUUUCUUCUGCCGAGCAGCCAAUAAUGUUAUUUCCGUGUAAUGCAAGGCGGGCAUCGUGUUCUUCGGCACACUGGUGGUUAGACUAGACCUUGGACUAGGUGCAAUCUACAGUUUCAAUCAAAGGCGAUAAGAGCGUAACGUAAUUUGUGGAUGCCGCCUAAUGAGAGUAGUGGUGACGUAACAAAGAAGAGGGAUGAUUAUCUGACUGACGUCAUUUGCUACCGCCACCGCAUGACCAUCGAAAGAAUGACCGCUACUUUGAAGGAAAGGAUACAACCAGUAAAAGGACAAAAAAGACAAAGAAUUGUUGAUACAAAUGAAGAGAAUUUAAACAAAAAAGGUGCUAAACUGUUGGGCACGUAAUAAAAAAAUUUCAACGUGGUUGUUAAACAAUACACUUUAUUAAAAAAAUAACAUUGUAUUUAUUAAUGUUAUCCAAACAUUAUACACCCAAUUCUGUUUUUGCAUGGAUUUCUUUAUGCGGCCGUGCAAAUAAGUGUCCAUACAUUUUUUUCCGCCAAAACCUUAU